UGUAAGCGUAUACCAAAGUUGUUGCAGUUAAAACGCUCGUAGUCGGAAUUUGGCAGUUCCGGAUGUGUGCACGUCGUGUGCGCACUUCGCGGGGAUUGCUUUUGUGGUCUUGCGUAGGAUGAGGCACUUUUAUUAGUGAACGUCCUCACGCAACCACUUUUUACUGUGAGAAAAUCAGGGUGCUCAAAGCAGGCAUUUGCCGUGAAUGUAUUAGCAUGGAAUAAUAGAAUAGGACUUGGUUCUAUUUUGUUGGUUUGUUGGGACUGAGUAAUGAUUAAGAGGGACAGUUGGGGGCAUUUGUAUUUCGGUGCUAGAGGUGAAAUUCUUAGAUUACCGAAUGACAAACUGCUGUGAAAGCGUCUGCCAAGGAUGUUUUCAUUGA
rnacentral:rRNA from 1 species